AACUUUCAACAACGGAUCUUUUGGUUCUGGCAUCGAUGAAGAACGCAGCGAAAUGCGAUAAGUAGUGUGAAUUGCAGAAUUCAGUGAAUCAUCGAAUCUUUGAACGCACAUUGCGCCCCUUGGUAUUCCAUGGGGCAUGCCUGUUCGAGCGUCAUUU
rnacentral:rRNA from 1 species